rnacentral:rRNA from 1 species
ACUCAAAUGAAUAGACGGGGGCCCGCACAAGCGGUGGAACAUGUGGUUCAAUUCGACGCUACGCGAAGAACCUCACCACGGCUUGACAUGCAGGAAGUAGCAAACCGAAAGGGGCGCUACCUGUCAAGUCAGGAGCCUGCACAGGUGCUGCAUGGCUGUCGUCAGCUCGUGUCGUGAGAUGUUGGGUUAAGUCCCGCAACGAGCGCAACCAUCAUCUUUAGUUGCUACUUUCAAAGCCGCAAGGCCUAGGGAGGCACUCUAGAGAGACUGCCCGCGAUAAGCGGGAGGAAGGUGGAGAUGACGUCAAGUCAGUACGGCCUUUAUGCCGUGGGCUACACACGUGUUACAAUGCCUACUACAAAGCGUUGCCAACCCGCGAGGGGGAGCUAAUCGCAAAAAGGUAGGCCCAGUUCAGAUUGGAGUCUGCAAUUCGACUCCAUGAAGACGGAAUCGCUAGUAAUGGCGGAUCAGCUACGCCGCCGUGAAUACGUUCCCGGGCCUUGUACACACCGCCCGU